rnacentral:lncRNA from 1 species
CACAAUAGGGUGGUUACCCAGACAGGACGUCCAUCUAGGAGCCCUGCGGGAGGCAUGCAGGUAUUUCUCUGGAGGUCAUGCCUGGCAGGCGUCCACUGUUAGAGCCAGAGGACCCGGAGCAUUAUCUGAAUGAACUAAUGACCAACAGGCGGGCAGAAAUGAGUGCUGCGGAUUGAUAACAGGGACAGCCAGACCCCCUCCCAUCCCCACGAGGCAGAGGCACCAGGGAACAACUGCAGAGUUCUGACUACUCAAUCACAGUGCAAUGAGUAAUGGAAGGCUACGUAGUGGCAAGAAUUGAAAAGAAGACCAGGCGCAGUGGCUCACGCCUGGAAUCCGAGCACUUUGGGAAGCCAAAGCAGGAGGAUUGCUUGAGCUCAGGAAUUCGAGAGCUUGAGACUAGCCUAAGCAACAUAGCCACCUGGCUUUCCCACACAUCAACCUCGUGCUCACACCCCACUCUGGAGACCACCAGCUUCGAGGCAAAAAGAGAGAACGACGUACAAUGGGGGGCUCUUAAAUUUCAUUCUGUAAAAAAGAAAGUUCG